ACUUAAUUAUAACUAAAAUAUAUUAAAUAGUAUUGUAGCCUAUAAUUUCUGUUCCUACAACAGGAAAACACAGACCAUCCUAAUAUUUGACCAUUUAUUUCAGUCCUGUAGCUUACUGGAGCUACUUUUCUCUAUUGCAACUUUUCUUCUCUGUAGAUGUGGUUUGCACUGCAGAGCAGAAUGCAGAUUUAAAAAGCAGU